CUGCAGCGUGAGCAGAUCGGUAAAUGGUGUGGGAUGGGGAGGAAGGUGAGAACAGCAAGGAAAGCCACAGGGUAAAUGUGUGCUCCUGGCUAAGUUUGCAAAGCCAAUUGCUAUUUGUCUUUAGAGAUAACAGCUCAGACAACGAGCAGCACUGUGGGCAGGUAGGAUAACUUAGACAACUAGAAGAAGCAGGAAAUUACUCUCUGAAUGAUAAAAUAUUUUCCAGGUGGAGGCAGAGAAGACUUGGGGUUAUCAGCCAGUAUGUAAUCUAGAUUGGUAGAACAAAUAGCUGGAGACCCAAAGACAUGGGCAGAACAACAGCAGAUGAGAAAUACCGAAAUCCAAUGAGCAACAUCAGAGGGGCUUGUGAAGAUUUCAAACAUCUGUGGUCUGAAAAACCCAGCUGGAACAUUUAGAGAAAAAAAUUUCUCUGACAAACUUCAUAAUAUGAUUUUUUUUUUCCUUUGGAAAUAUUGUAACCACCUUUUCUCCUCCCAGACAGCUCCCUGCUUAAGGCAGGAAGAAGGAACAUCAGAAGAGCAUCGUGCUGAGUGUGAGAGGAGUGAAGCUUGUCUUUACCUCUGAAAGCGUGUCUGAAGCAUUGCUGAUCAUAACUGCCAGACUCCCUGAAUUCCUGUUGAAUUUACUGCCAGCCAUAGAUGAUCAAAAAGCCUGGCCAUCUCCAUCCCUUCUGCUUUGUUAGAAUCCUCAUUGUUGGGACCUGGCAGUGCCCAUCUAUCCAUUGGUCACCUCCAGUUGCAUUACUGGAUCUCGAUUUGUGACCAAGAAAUAUACAAUUUCUUUGAAGUCAAAGUAGUGUUACUGGUAAAGCCAAGACUUGAUCUGUGUCAAACUGUAAAGGUUUUUCACUGGGAUUCUAAUGCAGAGGUAAAAUAUUUCUAGCCACUUAAUUAGUAGGAGGCUUCAUUUUUUUUUUUCAGUUAAGAAUAAUGAAAAAUGCAUUGUUUCUGUAUAGUCAGUUACUUGUUAGAAUACUUUGAGGUUUUUUCGAACUGCUUUAUAUUUGUGAAUGCAUCAGUUUCACAAACAAUAAUCAAAGGAACAGAAAAAUGCCUUGUAGUUUAUUAUUGUCUAUAAGGGUAUGUACAGGCAGGUCAUUUCACUGAUGAGUUGAAUGAGCGUGGGGAAAGUCAGAGCAACCCCACGUGGCCUUGCUUUGUGGGCUGCAGGAAGCAGCAGG